AGUACGUGCCGAGGGCCAUCUUGGUGGACCUGGAGCCGGGCACCAUGGACUCGGUGCGCUCGGGACCCUUCGGGCAGAUCUUCCGGCCGGACAACUUCGUUUUUGGCCAGAGCGGCGCGGGCAACAACUGGGCCAAAGGUCACUACACGGGCCAAGGGGUCACUACGGGGGGGGGGCGGAGCUGGUGGACUCGGUCCUGGACGUGGUGAGGAAGGAGGCGGAGAGCUGCGACUGCCUGCAGGGCUUCCAGCUGACCCACUCGUUGGGCGGCGGCACCGGCUCCGGCAUGGGCACCCUCCUCAUCUCCAAGAUCCGCGAGGAAUAUCCCGACCGCAUCAUGAACACCUUCAGCGUCGUCCCGUCCCCCAAGGUGUCGGACACGGUGGUGGAACCCUACAACGCCACCUUGUCCGUCCACCAGCUGGUGGAGAACACGGACGAGACCUACUGCAUCGACAACGAAGCCCUCUACGACAUCUGCUUCCGCACCCUGAAGCUGACCACGCCCACCUACGGUGACCUCAACCACCUCGUCUCGGCCACCAUGAGCGGCGUCACCACCUGCCUGCGUUUCCCCGGUCAACUCAACGCCGACCUCCGCAAGUUGGCCGUCAACAUGGUGCCCUUCCCACGUCUCCACUUCUUCAUGCCGGGCUUCGCGCCGUUGACGUCGCGCGGCAGCCAGCAGUACCGCGCCCUCACCGUCCCCGAGCUCACCCAGCAGGUCUUCGACGCCAAAAACAUGAUGGCCGCCUGCGACCCGCGCCACGGCCGCUACCUGACGGUGGCCGCCGUCUUCCGCGGCCGCAUGUCCAUGAAGGAGGUGGACGAGCAGAUGCUCAACGUCCAGAACAAGAACAGCUCCUACUUCGUCGAGUGGAUCCCCAACAACGUCAAGACGGCCGUCUGCGACAUCCCGCCGCGCGGCCUCAAGAUGGCCGUCCCCUUCAUCGGCAACAGCACGGCCAUCCAGGAGCUCUUCAAGCGCAUCUCGGAGCAGUUCACGGCCAUGUUCCGGCGCAAAGCCUUCCUCCACUGGUACACGGGCGAGGGGAUGGACGAGAUGGAGUUCACCGAGGCCGAGAGCAACAUGAACGACCUCGUCUCGGAGUACCAGCAGUACCAGGACGCCACCGCCGAGGAGGAGGAGGACUUCGGUGAAGAGGCCGAAGAGGAGGCCUGAGGGGAUGGUUGUCUAGCGGAGCCCUCGUCCUUCACUGCCAUCGUCAUCCUCGGAGAGCCCUUGUCUUUCAGCGUUGUCCUCGGAGAGCCCUCGUCCUUCGCCGUCGUCGUCUUCGGAGAGCCCUUGUCC